GAUGAAGAACGUAGCGAAAUGCGAUAAGUAGUGUGAAUUGCAGAAUUCAGUGAAUCAUCGAAUCUUUGAACGCACAUUGCGCCCCUUGGUACUCCAUGGGGCAUGCCUGUUCGAGCGUCAUUUACACCCUCAAGCUCAGCUUGGUGUUGGGCGUCUGUCCCGCUUCGUGCGCGGACUCGCCUCAAAUGCAUUGGCAGCGGUCUUGCCAGCUUCUCGCGCAGCACAUUGCGCUUCUAGAGGCUUUGGCGGAUCGGCGUCCAUCAAGUACACCCACAGUUUGACCUCGGAUCAGGUAGGGAUACCCGCUGAACUUAAGCAUAUCAAUAAGUGGAGUA
rnacentral:misc_RNA from 1 species